GUUUGGCGUUGCAGCUGCGUGGGCGCUGGUGCGUGCGAGUAGCGCUCGAAGAAACCCAAAGGCGUCGUGGGGCUGCCGUGUGCCCCAGAGAGCACUGCAGGCCGGGUAGGGGCUAAGGCUCCCCGCAGUCUUCUGUGUGUUGUCCAGUACGCAGUUGAAAUCGUUCUCCAACCUGGCCAGUCCUCCGAGGCCCUUCUCAGGCGACCAGACUCUGUUAACAGAGUCCAUUGCUAAAACUCCUCGUUAGUAUUUACCACUCCGCCAGUCUGUGUUUUGAAGCAGUGGUUUUCAACCACUGCCCGUUUUCAAAAGAAAUCAUCUCAAGCGGCCAUGUGCUGCUAAAAGCCGGGCCGGGAGGUCUUGGUGCCGGACUCCACCCUGCAGCCCUUCCCUUUCGCCACCGCCCUGUGCUUAGAGAAACCUUAGAGUGGAGCAAUGAGUCGCCCUUGACUGAGUAACUCUUCGGGGUCAACUUCUCCUUCCAUCCAAGGAAAGGAUUCCAGGGCGAUGUUUCUGGAAAUAGAGAUCUGACCAAGCUACUGCCCUGGUGAAAAUUCAGUGGGUCCCUAGCACCUAGUGCAGCGGCUCCUAGCCUGAGUAUUGCCGUCUUUCGGUGGGGAGGGAUUGGGUUUUUUUGUAGCAUCUGUUGAUCUGAUCUCCAACAUCCUCCACGUCAAUUCCCACUCCACCCACAUCCCUUAUCCUAUACGUAAGCUUUCCAGCCACGGUGCUGGCUUGGGUGGGGGUGCGUGCGGUGCUGACACCAAAAUGGAGGUCCCGUGUUUCUGAGAGUCUCUCUUUCAGAGCAUUGCAAACCUGAAACUACUCCUGCCAAGAAACGAUUGCAGCUCUUCCCGGAAAAAUUAAAGCCUUUGAGAAACAAAGCUGAGGUGGGUAACUUAAUUUAAAAAAUACAGAGAGGAGUUUCAAGUAGACUAAGUGGGAAAAAAAGGAAGGAGUCUUGGGUGGGGCAGGGAUUCAGGGCACCAGCUUCCUUAUCGCUGAGCCUGGGGGGUGGGGGAGG
rnacentral:sRNA from 1 species